UAUUUAAUUGUUUUUUUUAGAUAUUAUAUUAUUUAAACAACUUAUAAGUCAUAACCGAACAUGAAGUUGCUUCUGAUAUCAACUUUGUUGUCAUGUGCUUGGGCAGAUACAUAUAAUUCGAUUACCGUCGAAGAUUACGAGCUCACAUACUACUAUUGGGGCGAUGAUACGGUAGAAUUUUCCGAGGCAAGGCACGCUUGCGUUACAAUGAAUGGCAACCUGGUGAAAGUGGA